rnacentral:rRNA from 4 species
UUUGACCUCAAAUCAGGUAGGAUUACCCGCUGAACUUAAGCAUAUCAAUAAGCGGAGGAA